rnacentral:misc_RNA from 1 species
CCGAGUUAGGGUUCGUCCAACGAGCCCGACCUCCCAACCCUUUGUCUAUUAUACCUUGUCGUUGCUUCGGCGAACCGGUCGCGACCGCCUAGGUCGAGAUCGCCGGGGAUCUACCCCUGGAGCGUGUUCGCCGAUGGCCCAACCACAAACUCUUGUACCAAACCAUGUCGUCUGAAUUGCUUGAUUAAAAUCAAAACA